rnacentral:rRNA from 1 species
CCUACGGGAGGCAGCAGUGAGGAAUAUUGGUCAAUGGACGAGAGUCUGAACCAGCCAAGUAGCGUGAAGGAUGACUGCCCUAUGGGUUGUAAACUUCUUUUAUAUGGGAAUAAAAUGUUCCACGUGUGGGAUUUUGUAUGUACCAUAUGAAUAAGGAUCGGCUAACUACGUGCCAGCAGCCGAGGUAAUACGGAGGAUCCGAGCGUUAUCCGGAUUUAUUGGGUUUAAAGGGAGCGUAGGUGGAUUGUUAAGUCAGUUGUGAAAGUUUGCGGCUCAACCGUAAAAUUGCAGUUGAAACUGGCAGUCUGGAGUACAGUAGAGGUGGGCGGAAUUCGUGGUGUAGCGGUGAAAUGCUUAGAUAUCACGAAGAACUCCGAUUGCGAAGGCAGCUCACUGGACUGCAACUGACACUGAGGCUCGAAAGUGUGGGUAUCAAACAGGAUUAGAUACCCUAGUAGUC